UGGGGAAUAUUGCGCAAUGGGCGAAAGCCUGACGCAGCCACGCCGCGUGAGCGAUGAAGGCCUUCGGGUCGUAAAGCUCUGUGGGGAGAGACGAAGAAAGCCUGUGAAGAGCAGGCCUUGACGGUAUCUCCUUAGCAAGCACCGGCUAACUCCGUGCCAGCAGCCGCGGUAAUACGGAGGGUGCAAACGUUGCUCGGAAUCAUUGGGCUAAAGCGCACGUAGGCGGCGAAGCAAGUUGGGUGUGAAAGCCCUGGGCUCAACCCAGGAAGUGCAUUCAAAACUGCUUCGCUUGAAUCUCGAGGGGGUCAGAGAAUUCCCGGUGUAGAGGUGAAAUUCGUAGAUAUCGGGAGGAAUACCAGUGGCGAAGGCGCUGACCUGGACGAAGAUUGACGCUGAGGUGCGAAAGCGCGGGGAGCAAACAGGAUUAGAUACCCUGGUAGUCCGCGCUGUAAACGAUGAGUGCUAGACGGUGGAGGUAUUC
rnacentral:rRNA from 1 species